rnacentral:rRNA from 1 species
CGACGGGAUGGUUUGGCACCUCGAUGUCGGCUCGUCGCAUCCUGGGGCUGGAGUCGGUCCCAAGGGUUGGGCUGUUCGCCCAUUAAAGCGGUACGCGAGCUGGGUUUAGAACGUCGUGAGACAGUUCGGUCCCUAUCCGCUGUGCGCGUAGGAGUCUUGAGAAGGGCUGUCCCUAGUACGAGAGGACCGGGACGGACGAACCUCUGGUGUGCCAGUUGUCCUGCCAAGGGCAUGGCUGGUUGGCUACGUUCGGGAGGGAUAACCGCUGAAAGCAUCUAAGCGGGAAGCCUGCUUCGAGAUGAGGACUCCCACCCACUUGAUGGGGUAAGGCUCCCAGUAGACGACUGGGUUGAUAGGCCGGAUCUGGAAGCACGGUAACGUGUGGAGGUGACCGGUACUAAUAGGCCGAGGGCUUGUCCUCAGUUG